GUGCCAUGCGGAGCUGAGGAGAAGAAAAUGAUGUGAAAGUCACCCUUUUGUUAGAGUGGCUGCAUCCUUGGAGGAUUGCUGUCUGAAAUGACAAACUUUCAGAGCCAACAAGUGUUUCUGACACUCGCAGAAAUGCCAAUCCAUCCAAAGGUGAUGGACAUGGAGCAGAGAACCUCAAACCUGCAAACGAAUGCCAACGACCUGCGAGAAUCAGCGUGCACUUCAAAUUCAGUGCGCACUGACAAGAGGGAUGAAGUGUGUUUGUCUGCAUUUCCAUACGUGCCGAGACUACAAGCAAGAAACACAUACACACGCAAAGGGAAGACAACCGUUCUGGGUGUGAUGUCAAUUUUUAUGUGCGUCUCCUGUGGCGGAGUUGCUUUCACUUGUCAGCCUGCUUGUUUAAGAACUCGCCUGUAAGGGCUCAGAUCAUCUCCAGAUUGAAGAUUCUUUUGGGUCGAUUCUUUCUGCGUGCACAUACACCAAGCAUGCUGGAGAAGGGAAAUGAGGUGGAAAGAGAUGCCCACCCAUUGAUCGGUUCUGCUCUGAUGUUCUUACUCACAUCCUGCAUAUGCAAAUUAACUUUUUGCUUAAAAUAAUGACAAUUUUUAGUUGCUGUGAGCAUGGUUUUAUGCUUAUGUGAUGAAUUGAUUGUGACUCCUCUUAAAGAGGUCAUCAAAUGUACUUUUAAUAAUGAAUUGCUACUCAGCAUUGUUUAAAAUGUGUAUACAUA
ensembl:processed_transcript